rfam:Cucumis melo, WGS project CAJI01000000 data, contig: 10031
GUGCCCACUAGAGUUCCCUUGAGCACUUCAUUGGAAAAUUGGAAAAUUUGAAAAUUUCAAAUUUUUGUCCAAACCUACUGAAGUGUUUGGGGGAACUCUCGGUGACAU